ACUCAACACUAAUAAAUUAAAAAGAGUGAGUCUAAAUGCUAGAGCGUGCCUUUUUUAGGAUUUUCGAAUAUUUAGUUAGCUCUAAACUUGUAUAAAUAGAGUUU
rnacentral:ncRNA from 2 species